rnacentral:SRP_RNA from 1 species
GCCAGGUGUGGUGGCGUGCGCCUGUAGUCCCAGCUACUCAGGAGGCUGAGGCAGGAGAAUUGCUUGAACCCAGGAGGCGGAGGUUGCAGUGAGCCAGGAUCACACCACUGCACUCUAGCCUGGGUGACAGAGUAAGACCCUGCCUCCA